rnacentral:misc_RNA from 1 species
UACACGUUCAUAUCAUCCUUUCUUCAGAUCAUUAUAACUAGCUAGCUGCUAAACAAGUAGUGCUAAUAAAUCGUAAUACAUUAGUUUUAAUUUGCCAGUGGGAAUUAAAUACAACUUAGUUCUUCUCCUAUACAUCCAUGAAUAUGGUCUUCCAUCGACUGAUUAGCUUCAAUAUCUCUAUUUUUUAUCAUUCUAAACUUCUGCUGUUUUAAGCUUUACAAAAAAAAAAAAAAAAAAA